UACGUAGGGUGCGAGCGUUGCCCGGAUUUAUUGGGCGUAAAGAGCUCGUAGGCGGCUUGUCGCGUCGACUGUGAAAUCCCGCGGCUCAACUGCGGGUCUGCAGUCGAUACGGGCAGGCUAGAGUUCGGUAGGGGAGACUGGAAUUCCUGGUGUAGCGGUGAAAUGUGCAGAUAUCAGGAGGAACAUCAGUGGCGAAGGCGACGAACUGGAUAGUAACUGACACUCAACAACGAAAGCGUGGGGAGCAAACAGG
rnacentral:rRNA from 1 species